GCCGGUGUGAUGGAAUUGGCAGACGUGCCAGACUCAAAAUCUGGUGGUGGCAACACCGUACCGGUUCGAUCCCGGUCACCGGCACCA
rnacentral:tRNA from 1 species